CGCCUUGCCAGCCCGCUCAGAAACUUAAAGGAAUUGACGGGGCCCGCACAAGCGGAGGAGCAUGUGGUUAAUUCGAUGAUACGCGAGGAACCUUACCUGGGCUCGAACGUAAGAUGACUGUAGGUGAAAGCUUACAUCUCUUCGGAGCAUUUUACGAGGUGCUGCAUGGUUGUCGUCAGCUCGUGCCGUGAGGUGUCGGGUUAAGUCCCAUAACGAGCGCAACCCCUACCUUUAGUUGCCAUCAGGUUAAGCUGGGGACUCUAAAGGAACUGCCUACGCAAGUAGUGAGGAAGGCGGGGAUGACGUCAAAUCAGCACGGCCCUUACGUCCAGGGCUACACACGUGCUACAAUGGCCGAUACAGAGGGCAGCUACCUGGUGACAGGAUGCAAAUCUCCAAAGUCGGUCUCAGUUCGGAUCGGAGUCUGCAACCCGACUCCGUGAAGUUGGAUUCGCUAGUAAUCGCGCAUCAGCCAUGGCGCGGUGAAUACGUUCCCGGGCCUU
rnacentral:rRNA from 1 species